rnacentral:rRNA from 1 species
GAUGAACGCUGGCGGCGUGCCUAAUACAUGCAAGUCGAGCGAACAGACGAGGAGCUUGCUCCUCUGACGUUAGCGGCGGACGGGUGAGUAACACGUGGAUAACCUACCUAUAAGACUGGGAUAACUUCGGGAAACCGGAUCUAAUACCGGAUAAUAUAUUGAACCGCAUGGUUCAAUAGUGAAAGACGGUUUUCCUGUCACUUAUAGAUGGAUCCGCGCUGCAUUAGCUAGUUGGUAAGGUAAAGGCUUACCAAGGCAACGAUGCGUAGCCGACCUGAGAGGGUGAUCGGCCACACUGGAACUGAGACACGGUCCAGACUCCUACGGGAGGCAGCAGUAGGGAAUCUUCCGCAAUGGGCGAAAGCCUGACGGAGCAACGCCGCGUGAGUGAUGAAGGUCUUCGGAUCGUAAAGCUCUGUUAUUAGGGAAGAAAAAAUGUGUAAGUAACUAUGCACGUCUUGACGGUACCUAAUCAGAAAGCCACGGCUAACUACGUG